rnacentral:rRNA from 1 species
CCGGGUGGCUGCAGUGAGGAAUAUUGGUCAAUGGGCGUAAGCCUGAACCAGCCAAGUCGCGUGAGGGAUGAAGGUUCUAUGGAUCGUAAAACUCUUUUAUAAGGGAAUAAAGGGUGGGACGUGUCGUAUUUUGUAGGUACCUUAUGAAUAAGGAUCGGCUAACUCCGUGCUCGCAGCCGCGGUAAUACGGAGGAUCCGAGCGUUAUCCGGCUUUAUUGGGUUUAAAGGGGGCGUAGGCGGCCUGUUGAGCCAGCGGUGAAAGUCUGUGGCUCAACCAUAGAAUUGCCGUUGAAACUGGGGGGCUUGAGUAGGUUUGAGGCAGGCGGAAUGCGUGGUGUAGCGGUGAAAUGCUUAGAUAUCACGCAGAACCCCGAUUGCGAAGGCAGCCUGCCGAGCCAUGACUGACGCUGAUGCACGAAAGCGUGGGGAUCAAACAGGAUUAGAUACCCCGGUAGUC